UACCAGCUCUCCGAGUGGUGUGGAUGUUUAUUGGGCCUAAAGCAUCCGUAGCUGGCUGGGCAAGUCCCCUGUUAAAUCCACCGAUUUAAUCGUUGGUGUGCGGGGGAUACUGUUCGGCUAGGGGACGGGAGAGGCCGACGGUAUUUUCGGGGUAGGGGUGAAAUCCUAUAAUCCCGGGAAGACCACCAGUGGCGAAGGCUGUCGGCUAGAACGCGCCCGACGGUGAGGGAUGAAAGCUGGGGGGAGCGAACCGGAUUAGAUACCCGGGUAGUCCCAGCUGUAAACGAUGCAGGCUAGGUGUUUGGGCGGCCACGUGCCGCUCUAGUGCCGCAGAGAAGUCGUUAAGCCUGCCGCCUGGGGAGUACGGCCGCAGGGCUGAAACUUAAAGGAAUUGGCGGGGGAGCACCACAAGGGGUGAAGCUUGCGGUUU
rnacentral:rRNA from 1 species